rnacentral:rRNA from 1 species
AGCGAACGCUGGCGGCAGGCCUAACACAUGCAAGUCGAACGAACUCUUCGGAGUUAGUGGCGGACGGGUGAGUAACACGUGGGAACGUGCCUUUAGGUUCGGAAUAACUCAGGGAAACUUGUGCUAAUACCGAAUGUGCCCUUCGGGGGAAAGAUUUAUCGCCUUUAGAGCGGCCCGCGUCUGAUUAGCUAGUUGGUGAGGUAAAGGCUCACCAAGGCGACGAUCAGUAGCUGGUCUGAGAGGAUGAUCAGCCACAUUGGGACUGAGACACGGCCCAAACUCCUACGGGAGGCAGCAGUGGGGAAUCUUGCGCAAUGGGCGAAAGCCUGACGCAGCCAUGCCACGUGAAUGAUGAAGGUCUUAGGAUUGUAAAAUUCUUUCACCGGGGACGAUAAUGACGGUACCCGGAGAAGAAGCCCCGGCUAACUUCGUG